GAUGAAGAACGUAGCGAAAUGCGAUAAGUAAUGUGAAUUGCAGAAUUCAGUGAAUCAUCGAAUCUUUGAACGCACAUUGCGCCCGCCAGUAUUCUGGCGGGCAUGCCUGUUCGAGCGUCAUUUCAACCAUCAAGCCCCCCGGCUUGUGUUGGGGACCUGCGGCUGCCGCAGGCCCUGAAAAGCAGUGGCGGGCUCGCUGUCACACCGAGCGUAGUAGAUCUCAUCUCGCUCAGGGCGUGCUGCGGGUUCCGGCCGUUAAACCACCUUCAUUGCCCAAGGUUGACCUCGGAUCAGGUAGGAAGACCCGCUGAACUUAAGCAUAUCAAUAAGCGGAGGA
rnacentral:misc_RNA from 1 species